rnacentral:misc_RNA from 1 species
GCGUUUGAGGUAUUUUUGCUAAUCCCACUCCACUUUCCAGUGUCUCCCUAUUCUUUCUCCGCUCCCUCGUCCUGUUCUACGCCUCCGCCGACGCCACGACCGGUGCUACCCGCAGACCGGUUUUCUACCCAAUCAGUUCAUGAGCUUAUUACUAACCAAAUUAGAUAAGAAUUAAUGGCACAUCUUCAUCAACCUUACGAUUCUUAUUACCAGCUACAGCCACCACCACCAGCAGCAGCUGACCGGAACGGAAUUAACACGCUGUUCGUCUCCGGACUUCCCGACGAUGUCAAGCCUCGUGAGAUUCAUAAUCUCUUUCGCCGACGCCCCGGCUUCGAUUCUUGCCAGCUCAAGUAUACCGGCCGCGGCAACCAGGUCGUUGCAUUUGCUACCUUCUUUAAUCACCAAUCGGCAAUUGCAGCUUUGCACUCUUUAAAUGGAGUAAAAUUUGAUCCUCAAACUGGAUCCACUCUGCAUAUAGAGCUUGCUAGAACAAAUUCAAGGAGGAAACAUAAACCAGGGAGUGGAGCCUAUGUGGUUAUUGAUAAACGAACCAAAAUGGCCUCUAAUGCCCAAGAAACAUCAAGUGAUGAUGGUAUUUUCUGAUUUUUGCGUAAAUUGAUGUUUAAAUGAGUAUGAUCUAAGUUUGAAUCUGUUUCUUCUUUUCUCUUCCACUCCUGGUUUAAUUUGACUUUCAAGUUAUUAGCCUGCCAAUUUGGAUGCAUUAUAUUCUUAGCUUUUAUUUUACGGUUUGCCUACUUUCCUUAAUUUUCAUUUUUGUUACAGUUAUAUAACAUGGGAUUUUACAUGGGUUCCCUGGAUAUUCUCAUUUGGGCUUACAUGUCAUGUUGGACUGCCUUUCUACAUGCAGGAGGCAGUGACUCUAAUGAUGCACAUGCAACUGACAAUGCUGCUUCUGCCAACCAGGGUGAUUUAGGGAGUGUAAAGAGUGAGGCAGCUGGUGAGCCUGAAAAUGUUGUGGUAGCUGCAAAUGUAAGUGAAUGACACUUGAAUUAGUCUCUUUAUGAGGUGCUUGUUGCAUGUGCAGAUGUUCUGUUUAUGGCGUCAAUGGCAGAAUGACAAUCAUUCCUUUUCUCUGCUUCUCUACUUGUUCCUUAUGGGGAAGAGACAUCUAAGUUCUAUUGCCUGAAAAUACGAGAUUGGUGAAUAGGCAUGCAUGAGAAAUUAAACAACCCUUGAUGCAUUUGGGAAAAGAAUUCUUGAAUAGUAGUUUGCUCUAUGUGUUUGCAUGUUUGUCACAGUCCAUUUGUUAUUAUUAAGGAUGGCAAUGGGUCUGGUAUUUUCGGACACUCAAUCUGAUUGAACUCUGUUGGGACAAGCUCAGGUUUAUGGAGUACUUUGUUGGGUUCAGGUUCCAUAUGUUGGAAACCCAUUUAUAUAAACAAUUAAUUAAAUAUAAAAUUUUUUUCAUAAUAAUGUUUCUAAAAUUUUUGAAUAUUACAUUUUAAAUAAAUAAACUUUAAAUAUUUUAUAGGACUAUUAAAUUUUAAAAUAAUUUUAAUAAUAAAAAUAUUUUUUUAUAAUUAUUAAUUAAAAUAUAUAAAAUUAAAUGGGUUCGGGUUUUUUCUCGAUAAUAAUAAUCGGGUUUGGGUUAGAUUCGAAUAGUUGAAAAUAAAUUUUAAUCGGAUUUAAAAUGAAUUUAAAUUUUGAUAAUAUUAAUCGAGUUCAAAUUCAAAUAGGAUAAUUUUUACGGAUACCCUAUUCGUUACCAACCUAUUAACAACUCCUUUUAACUUGAUUUAAUCCCACGGUAGAACCAUGGUCUGGCACAUUUAUCUUUCCUGUCAUGCCAUCUUCACCAAGGUGAUUUAGCCAUUAGACGGCGUGGUUAUGGCAUCUCAUUGAUAGCUAAUGGUACGACUUUAUUUAUUAUGUUUCAAUUAUUAGUUAAUUAAAUGGAGAAAUUAUUCAGUAUACCUAUCCAUUCCUAUAAAUAUAUGAAUUUCAGUAUACGAAUAUUUUAUUUUUCAUUUUGUGUGGUUUUUGAUCUCAUAAUAAUUAUUGAUCCUUAAAUUCUUCUCUCUCUCAAGUUGAGCCUUUUUAUUAUCAUGAGAGAUUGGCGUUUUAAUGCACACGUCAUUCGAUCAUGAUCCUAUUAUUUCAAGCCACAUGACAUGUGAACAGAAAUUUUAAUGGUAGCAGUAUCAAGAAUAAUAUAUAAUUAGAAAUCAGCCUGCGCAUUGUGCAUUCUUUUAAUUUUAGAUUAAUUGUGAGACGCUAUUUUAUUUUUUGAUUGCAUUUUUUAUUUUUAUUAAAAUAAACUUUAGGGCAAAUAUUGUUCAUCUAUCCGAAUACAUUUUUUUUUACUAUAAUUUUUAAGAUGCGAUGAGAAAGGCUUGUACUGAUUUUAGAUUUAUAAAUGGGCUUUUUUCAGUCAUUGAAGUUCAAUAGAGUAAUUCCCCAAUUGUAAUUUCACUUGGAAUUUAUAAGUGUACACUUGUGAAUUCACUGUGAUGUUCAUUAAUUAUUUUUCAGUUUAUUUGUUAUUAUAGACUUUAGGCUUGUUCUUCUUUCUAUUUACUCCAUAUUUUAU